GCACUGCUGAGGAGUCCCACAACAGGACGAAACUGCCGUCCAGUGC
rfam:Schistosoma rodhaini strain Burundi genome assembly, scaffold: SROB_scaffold0001845